AGCGAACGCUGGCGGCGUGCCUAACACAUGCAAGUCGAACGUGAAAAGGGAAACCUGAGUAAAGUGGCGUACGGGUGAGUAACGCGUAGGUAAUCUACCCCAGAAUCUGGAAUAACCUGCCGAAAGGCGGGCUAAUACUGGAUAGAGCGAGGGAACUCGUAAGAGAGUUUUUCGGGAAAGGGAGCCCGCAAGGGCCUUCGUUCUGGGAUGAGCCUGCGUCUCAUUAGCUAGUUGGUAAGGUAACGGCUUACCAAGGCGAUGAUGAGUAGCUGGUCUGAGAGGAUGAUCAGCCACACUGGAACUGAAACACGGUCCAGACUCCUACGGGAGGCAGCAGUGGGGAAUCUUGCGCAAUGGACGAAAGUCUGACGCAGCCACGCCGCGUGAGUGAAGAAGGCCUUCGGGUUGUAAAGCUCUGUCGGAUGGGACGAACAUCUUCAUAGUGAAUAGCUAUGAGGACUGACGGUACCAUCAAAGGAAGCACCGACUAACUCCGUG
rnacentral:rRNA from 1 species